ACACACACACACUCUUUUUGGAAAUGCAUCUAAUACAUUUUUUUGUUUUAGCAGAAGGCACCAAACCGUCCAUGUUCGUUUUUGCUGUUUUCAGGGUUCAUUUCCAUGUUUACACUUCCAGGAGAUGUUAUGAAACAUUGGGGAAAAGGUGAUGCUUUUAUUUCAUUGAAGAGCAAAAGAAAUCCAGACUUGGUCCCUUCUCUUUGUUUCAGUGCUAAUUUAUGUUUUCUUAGCAGUGUAGAGCUCAUGUGAUUGUAUAGUUAUUGAUAUCUCCUAUGAUCCCGUCCCCAUCGUUCCUCCCACUGUGCAGAUGAAGAAAGUGAAGCAGAAAUCUUGUCCAAAUUUACAUAUAAUAGUGCAAUCUCUCCAUUUUAAAGUUAUAAUGUGUGCUCCUCUACUGUGCAAUGUCAAGAACAUGAACUUCAGAAGAAUGCUGCCAGGCUUAUAUAAUUAUGUACCUUUACAAAUGUGGUGUCAAAGUUUCUGAGCAGGACUUAAAAGGCAACACUUCUAUGAUAUUCUGGAAAAGAAAUUCCUGAAGACCAUAAUUCUUGCACAGCCCCCAGGGGAAGGAUGUCUGGCACCAGCAGAAGGACAAAGGACAAGGCCAUAAAACUAUGGUCCUGAUACGUGUGACAAGCGGAAGCCCCAUCUGUAGCUCUCUCUGGGCACAUAAAAAACCUGCUCCCUCCCCAUUCACCACUGAUUUCUUUUUCGGAAUCAGUCCACCUGCACCCAGGUGCCUUGAAUAAAUAUAUUGAUUACA